UAAAAACGACUCUCGGCAACGGAUAUCUCGGCUCUCGCAUCGAUGAAGAACGUAGCGAAAUGCGAUACUUGGUGUGAAUUGUAGAAUCCCGCGAACCAUCGAGUCUUUGAACGCAAGUUGCGCCCGAAGCCAUUAGGUCGAGGGCACGUCUGCCUGGGCGUCUCAC
rnacentral:rRNA from 1 species